UGUGGCGCUUCAAUAAGUAAUAGAACACUAUGCAAUCUAGUCAUGUAACCUUUUAGUAUGCUUAUAUAUAUAUAUAUAUAUAAAUGUAGAUAAAAAUAAAUAAAUAAACACCAAUAUUUUAUAUGUGUUAGAAUAUUUAUAUCACCAAAAGUAUUCGACAGAAAAUAAGAUGUAUAAUAUUUUCAGUAAUUACGAAAGAGGGUAAAAAUAGUGCAGAUUUUAUAUAGAAUUGUAACUAAGAAUGAAACAUAAACUCACACACAUUCACUUUGUGUAUCUUGGUUGAGAGUUGCAGAGAGCCGUAGAGAUGCAGAGAUAGAAUGGCAAGUGAACCCAAUGUCCGCUAGAGGGAUAUUCAGAAACCGCGAAAGAAUCAUGCAGUAAAAGAACCACUGUAAGAGAAGCAAAGCCCGGAAUUUGGGGAAAAAUUGCCUUUUUAUAGCCCGCAAAACUGGUUUAGCCAUCUCUGAAAUAAGAGACAGAGUGAUACUGAUGUUAAUAGUCAUCAUUCAUAUAAAAAACCUAUAACUCGCAAUAAUGAAAUUUUGAGUUCUUAUAGUUCAAGCAAAUUUCUUCAGUCAUCAAGACAGAAAAAAAAAUAUCCUAUUGACCCAGAGGGUGAUGAUUCUCCUUGCCGAAAACAUUGUAAAAGUUGUACUUAUUUUGGUUCAACAGUAUUAUUAACCGACGAUAAUAAUAAGUCAAUUCAAAUUGACAAAUCUACAGGAACUGAUUUAGCUGGAGAUCUUGUAAUAGUUGCACCUAGUAGAAUAUUCAAUAGAAGUGGAAAAACACAAGUUUUUAAAAGAAUUAGUAUAAAAAGUGUAUUAGAUGAAGUAUUUGAUGAGCCAGAACCUACACCUUUCACAAGUAUUGAGAAAAUAGAACAAAAAAAGAAUAAUGCUGUUAAAGAGGGUAUUUUUUCUUAUACAUUUUUAAUAAUAGUAAGUUAUAAAUAAGAGUAAAAUUCUGUAAUUAUUUCUGUACAAGCUUUGGUAACAUGGUUACAAAAGACAUGGACAUUAAACCAGCCUCAUCAAACCCUACCAUGAUUUUUGGUAGUAAUACAGAUAAUCCUGUAUUUCAAUUUAAUACUUCUAGUACUAAAACCAAUGAAAAGCCAACAGAAACAACUAACAAUGCUUUUCAAUUUUCUGCUGCUAAGACUGUUCCAUCAUUUGCUAACUCAACAACUCAAGGUUUUGGAGAUAAACCAGCGUUUCAGUUAAAUGCUCAAAAAACAGAUGACCAGAAAUCUCAGUUAUCAUCAUCGUCCUUUGGAAAUCAAACUGCUGCUGUUGCUUCUUUUAAAUUUGGAGGUGGUGAAAAGCCUGCUGUAUUUGGAAGUACAUUUACUUCACCAAAUCAACCAAUCGAGUUCAGCAAUGAAAUGAGACAAAAACUGAACCAUUUAAAUUUGGUGCUUCUACUAAUGCAUUUCAGUUUAGUUCCAAUAAAAAUGACAGUGGCCCAAUUAAGUUUGGUCAAAGCUCAAAUACAUUUAAUUCUUCUGGAGGAUUUAGUGGCUUUGGUAAAUCUUCAACUCAGCCUACUGUGUCAUUUGGAAACACUGCACCUUCACAACCUUCACCAUUUGGAAAUACUGCUGCUCCUGAAUCAACAUCAACAUUUGGCAGCAUAGCUUCUACUUCAACCAACACAUUGGGACUACAGCCAAUCGAGGUUUUCAAUUUGGUAAUUCAAACACAUCUAAUAACCCAUCUACAUUUGCUUUAUUGCUGCUUCACAACCUGCAAAACCUAAAGGAGCUUUUAGUUUUGACUCGACUACUGCUGCAGCACAACCAUUCCAGUUUGGACAAGCACCAGGUUUGUCAUCACCUCAGAAAUUCAGUGGAGGACAAC